CAUUUCGCCCAGGACCCCUUCCAGGUUGGAAUGAGCCCAUGUAAAUGACUUGUAUUUGUACAGUGUGCCCCGGCAUAUGUGGACAUCUUUUAUGUGGCUUUCAGCUUACGCUGAAAGCCGGACGACGGGAAUGGGGUGUGCGCCAUGCCACGCGUCAUGCACGAGCCCCAUUAUUUUCAAUGGGGCUCAAGCAUACAUGCUAUUUGCCUUACGCGGGGGGGUCUGGAACGGAUCCCCCGCAUAAGGCAAGGGCGCACUGUAAUCAGUUAAUUAAAAUGACUUAUAUUUGCAAUUAAUGCUUUCAUUAUCUUGAUUUUCAUGAACUGUAGUGGGUGCUUUGCCUUUAACUGGAAUUCAGAGGUGAAGCUGAAAUGCAGAAAUCUUUUUUUCAUAGGGAUACAUACAGUGACAGAAGUGGAAGUAGCUCUCCAGACUCUGAGAUAACAGAAUUGAAAUUUACUGCAGUGAAUCCUGAGUAAUUGCUGAUAUGCCUCCUGAGAUUCUUCAUUGGAUGCAACAGCUGGACAGCUGGAGUCUUUUAAAUCAUACCAUUAUAAUUGUACUUUGAGAAAUCAUGUCACUCUUAGGUUUUUCUUUUGCAUUUAUUUUCUAGAGUUGUAUUUUGAGAAGAUGCAACUAGUGCCUGCUCAUGUGCAGCUGUAAGAUUACAAGGAAUAAUGUCAUAAACUGAGCAAGGACUGUGUUUCUGAAGAGACUUGGCAUGUCAUUAUAGUCAUGAAUGUUGCCAAGCAAUUCACUUUCUGUGAACUUCCAUUGUGGGAGGUUUAAAUUAUACUAUUUGCCCUCUUAAUGGGUUGUGGAGUGGAAGCUCCUCAAGGCAGAAUAAUUUAAUUUUUACAGGUAUUCUUUUUUAAAAAAGAUAAUGGAUUUAUUGCUACAAGGCCACUGCGGAACACCUUUUCCAGGAAUAUAUUUUUUCUGCUCAUGAAACUAAGCUAUUUAGUUUAUCCCUAUCCUAAAGAAAAGUGAUUAUGUUACAAUUACACAAUUAAAAGGUGACUAUAAAUAAUUUUCAGUAUUUUAGAGGCACAAGUGGAGGUGUAUUUUGCUUUCCUCCUGCUUCCCGGACUCAUAGGACUCCUUGUAUCAAGGGGGGCGCGUAUGCAAGAAAAUGACUUUUCAGAAGCUGCCUUUUGGAACUCACUGAGAUAGCUGCCUUGGAUUAAAAAGCCUGAAGUCCUUCUUGUAAGGGAGGCCCGCCUGAUCUCCCUCGCCCCAUUGCUGAGAAGAUGUCAUCCAUGUUGACAUACGAGAUGCCCUAUGGGGAAUUCAGCACUAUUUUUACUGCAGCCUGUCGAUAAUUGAAAGGCCGACAGCAGUCUUCUACAAACAUAGGGGCUCUUCCCUUUCGCCAGUGUAGAUUGUAUGCUGUGUUUCAAGCAAAUAGGAGAAACAGUCUAUUCUUAUGAAAUAUGCCCUGUGUCCAAACACUUUUCAUUUCAUUAAAACUUGGGGAAAGUAA